rnacentral:lncRNA from 1 species
GAGACAGAGAACUUUGUGGAGGUGCCUAGGCGGUGGACUCUCGCCUGUCUUCUCUGUGGGAUCCACGGGAUAGUCCCAUGAUCCUAGGAGAGGGCAGACGUGAGCCAGCCUGAAGAAACGCCAAGCAGGAGCCCCAGGAAUAAACCGCAAAAUCCCUAAGGAUCCAAAAGGAUCUGCAGGAUGCCUCAGGCCUGCCUAGUCAUCGUAGGGGGUCUUCUCCGUGGGAUCCACAGGAUAGUCCGAGGAUCCUAGGAGAGGGCAGAUGUGAGCGAGCCUGAAGAAACGUCAGGCAGAGCCCCAGGAGUAAACCGCGAAAUCCCUAGGGAUCCAAAAGGAUCUGAAGGAUGCCUCAGGCCUGUCUAGUCGUUGUAGGGGUAUGGACACUAUUGAUGGGAGCGGCUGGCCAUCUGGAGUGGCAGUUGCCAUCAUGCCAGUAGCGCUUGGGCCGCAUGGGCAGUGUUGUCAGGAGCAGCAGCAGGAGCAGCAGUGGCGGUGGUAGGACCCCGUUCCCUGUGUCCCCAAGGCAUCUGACUGCGCCGCCGCCCCCUAAUGGCUGGGCAGGACCCACUGCCAGGUGCAGACCCUCCAUGGCGGCCUCAAUUUCGCUUCCUACCACAUCUGGGAGCCCAUCAGCGCUGGCAGCCGGGUCUUGCAGGAUUGGCCCCAGGAGCAUCAGGUUCAUUUGUGCGGCAUUAGCCAGGGCCCCCAUGCCACCUGCACCUCGCCCAUGCACUACUGCAGGGAAAACGCAGAGAGGAGUCACGGCCAAGGCUGCACACUCUAUGGAGCCAGUGGCAGCUGGGGACAAGUGGGAGCCCAGCCCCUUCCAAGUUGCCAGGGCAGGAACUCCCCAGGCGCAACUGCAGCUGCCCAAGGAGGGUCUGCGACCCAGGCACUCCUGUGCUCUUGGGAGCCAGGAGAAGGCAGGAGCCCCACCCUCCCAGGCACAGCUGGAGCCUUUCAAGCCACAGCUGCAGACCCAGGCACCUCUGCACUCUUGGGGCCUGGGAAGGCCCCCGUGACCACACAGGCUCGGAAGUGCCUGCCCCCACUGUCUGGGUUCUCCUCGCUGUCAGCACCUGCUCCAAUCUUCGAGCAAAGUUGAGGUCGAGCACACUAUAUUGUGACCAAUAUAAAAUAGAUAUAAAAAUACCUCUUACACUUAAAUCCAGGCAUUGCCAUUUGAAUGACUUAAGAAUAUGCA